AAAUGGACUUGGAUUUCAUUAUCUUUUGCUGUCACACUGCCACAACUGGCCAGAACUGGUACCAGGUUAGCGAUUGCCCAUGGAGCUCCUGUAUAGAACAUACAAGCUGCUCAUUAUGUGCACAAUAUACUUCCUUCUUCUUCCUGGGGCUUCUCUUCCCUGUCUCAAAGCAGAAGGAACAAGAUUUUCCUAAGAAGCAUUUAUGUCCUGAAGUAGUCAGCUCUUUGAACAUUUAACUUCACCCCCACAUCAUUACCGAGAAGCAGCUCAUGGCUCUGGGCCCAGACCUGACCCCUGCAGCUCCCAUUUGCAAGGACUGUUGAAGGCAAAUGAAUCACUCACUACCACUACUAAACCAUCUGCUGACGUGUGCGAGACAGCCACCGCGCAGGACAAAGCAGCUACUUCAGGGCAGAGUUGAGCAUUACACACAGACCCAGGAAUUGACUCUAAUACUAAAGCUGGUACCUCAUGCUGCAGUUGGUGGCUAUGACUGCCCAUCAAUGAGAUGUGCAAACGUUCCAGCCACCUGUUAACUAUUUUGAGGUGAACUUACUUGAGAAGACUUCUUGUCCCUACUGAAUCCCAGGAGCAGAGCAGAAGGUGAUACACGAUGGCAGCAGAACCCAGGACACUGUGUUGCCAAGGUGGAACCCAAGACACCGUGUUCUUGAGGUGGAAUGCACAACACUGUGUUCCCACAGUGGAACCCAGGACACUGUGCGACCAUAGAAUUCUAAAGUUUGGUGGCCUCAGCGUUCAUUUCCGCCUCUGCUCUGGAUAAGGCAUUACGGCUCACAGAGGAAGUGUAUUGGAAGCAUCCAUCUGGAUACGUCACUGUACUGAAGUUGCAAAUGAAGCCCACAUUUUGCCAAGCAGCUGUGACUGUACUAUGGCAUCAUCCAUAGCUUUCCUGAGGAGGAGGAACUCGCCCCAUCCUGGCAGCUCAUUGCUACAGACUGAAGGGGUGAAAUGCCACCAGUCGACUCCAGCUCAGAGGGACAAACAAUCAACCCAAGAUUUUGUACAUGAUUAAAGCCAGAACAAAGAGACAAUUCAUUCACAGGCUGGGAUUUCCGAGUUUCUAGGCAAGCAUCUGCUGGCUUCACGGUGUUACAGGGUUCCUGUCUUCAUGGUUAAGCAAACACCACAUUCCUGUUGGGUCAGAAAGUUAAAAUGUUUCUCUAAUUUGAAAGUUCCAACAAGUACUGACUCAUACCAGCAAGGCAUAGAGACAAGACAGGACUGAACUCCCGGUGGAGACAAGGGGGUCCCGGACUUACAAAUCAAGGAGACAGAGUGGUCACUACUUCACUGGGUAAUAGGCAGGGCCUAAUAACAAAUCUCUUUAAGCCUGGUUUCCUCACCUGUUAGAUGAGGAGAGCAGCAACCUGAUUGCACCUGGCUGGAUUCAGAGACCAUCUACUGAGUAUCGAACACAUGACAUGCAGAUAAACCCUUAACCCAGUACUUCUCACUGUCUCAGUCAGCAUUAAUCUACGGUGGAGGACAUGCCUCAAUUUGGACUUGAUCAUGAUAUGAACCAUGGGAAACUCUUGGGGAGAGAGAGAGAAGACACAAAAAGAGGUUCAGGGAAAGAACAGGAACAGUCACAAGGAGGAGGCCUCUGUGUGGGAAACAGCAAGGGCAGAGCACCAUGAGUCUGCUUUUCACUGUGGCGUGGGAUCCAGCCCCCACACCCUGACUGAGGGAAGAAAGCUCAGUUUUGAGAAGAGUCUGGAAGGUCAGCUCUGCUCCUCACAGGUUCUCUGUGUUAACAUCUGACCCACGACUCCCCUCCACAGUGGAGAGAGCUUUGAGCUAACCAGCCCUCUGUCUAUGCCAUUCCCCCUCAGAUUUCUACUGAUUCCAACAGGCAUCAAGACACACAAAUCUCAUUUGCAAUUCCUGGUGAAGAAGACAAUGGCAGGUCCUUACCAACCACGUGAAGGAUUGUGACGAAAUAGCCGUUCGUUCUCUAUUUUCUUUGGUCCUCGAAUGUUCUCUACAACUCUCUUUGUGACAACUCUCUUACCAUUCACUGUCUUGCUACAAGUGGUGACCAGUCUGAACUUUCCCAUUCCUUGGCUUACAUAUGGUACAAAUGUUUCAGGGUCAUCAGAAUAAGACCUGGAUUCAUGGGACACAAACGUAGAAAAUCCCGUGUCCAUGAUGGGGGUGACAGUAAAGAAUGGGGAAGAGGCUCUUCUGGACCCAGUCAUGGGACCCGAGAACAAACAGUCUCCUGAAAAAAGGUCUUCAUCUUCAAUGACCUUCUGGAAGGUGUGGCGUGGCCUCCGAGAGCAUAUAUUUUCUUCCCAAUCGGUUUCAUCUCUGCUGUCGUUAACUCUGAUGGUCUCCCCUUUGUCAUGGCCAUCACCUCUGAUUUCCCCUUUGUUUCGGUUCCAUCGGGACCUGUCGUAAUCCUUUCGCUUCUUGGCAUCAGAUAAGAUGUGAUAGGCUUCUGCUACUUGUUUGAAUUUCUCCUCAGCUGCUUCCUUGUCUCCUGGGUUCUUGUCUGGGUGUACCUGCAGAGCCAGCUGAUGGAAAGCUCUCUUGAUAUCUGAGGACGACGCAUUCCGUGGCACCCCUAGUACUUUGUAAUAGUUCACCAUGUUUCUUUAAACAGCCUUGUCCCACUGAGAUGCAGGGUUGAGAUUUUGAAGAAUUUCCAUACAACUUCAGAAAGGAAGAUGGUCACUUAUUCAAGUUUACAGUUUUGAAUUUCCUCACAUGGUUUUUGGGGUGAAGCCUCUUCUGGUGGAGAAAUUCCUCUUCAGCGAAUUGAACCUUCACACGCUACCACACCCCUGUCCUGCCUUUGGUCACUGUGGGCUGUGACUAUGAGGUCAUCACUUUAGCAUCUCCCAGACUCUCAGCUGAGGUUCUGCCUGCCUUGUUUCCAUAGUGGUGGGGAAUCGGAGGUGGUCACUAUAAAAACUGGAAAGACCUUCUCUGUUUCAAAGACAAACAUGCACACAAUCAACAAACACCCAGUGUCUUGUCAACAGAGAGAAGCUAUUUGUGUAGCUUAAAAAGCAUUUGCCUUGUUUGUUUUUAACAGCCACAAGCCAGCAGACCCAACAUCCAGUUUGGGUUACUAAGGGAGCAAAUGUUUUUAGUGCCCUCUUCUGUGUCACUGGGACUUGCCUUUGUGGUAUUUAAAAUGAUUUUAUUUU
ensembl:antisense Gm16325 predicted gene 16325